rnacentral:rRNA from 1 species
CGAUAGCGAACAAGUACCGUGAGGGAAAGUUGAAAAGCACUUUGAAGAGAGAGUUCAAGAGUACGUGAAACCGUUUAGGGGUAAACCUGAGAAACCCGAAAGGUCGAAGGGAGAAAUUCAUUCGCGUUUCGCAGUCGGCGUGAGGCGAUCGAGUGACGGAAUGCGUCUUCGGAUGUUUUCUGCACCUUUUGUUUUUCGAUCCGAUAGCGAACGCGUGCACUUUUCUCCUGGUAGGACGUCGCGAUCCGUUGGGUGUCGGUCUACGGCUCACGGUGGAGCCCGGAUGUACGGCUUGCCGUCACGUCCGGACCCGUGUGUCCCGGCUGACUCGCUCGACGGUAUACGAAUGGUUUAAGGCCGCUCUCGCGAGCGUUCGGCUCGUCGCAAGCGAGUUAAAUGUGUCGGUGAUCGGACCUAGUGCCGGUCCUGACCUUUGACGACUGUUGGCGGCGAAGUUCUCGA